UACGAAGGGGGCUAGCGUUGCUCGGAAUCACUGGGCGUAAAGCGCACGUAGGCGGAUUGUUAAGUCAGGGGUGAAAUCCUGGAGCUCAACUCCAGAACUGCCUUUGAUACUGGCGAUCUCGAGUCCGGGAGAGGUGAGUGGAACUGCGGGUGUAGAGGUGAAAUUCGUAGAUAUUCGCAAGAACACCAGUGGCGAAGGCGGCUCACUGGCCCGGUACUGACGCUGAGGUGCGAAAGCGUGGGGAGCAAACAGG
rnacentral:rRNA from 1 species